rnacentral:rRNA from 1 species
UACGUAGGGUGCGAGCGUUAAUCGGAAUUACUGGGCGUAAAGCGUGCGCAGGCGGUGAGCUGUGUCCGAUGUGAAAGCCCCGGGCUUAACCUGGGAAUGGCAUUGGAAACUGGCUAGCUGGAGUGUGGCAGAGGGGGGUGGAAUUCCGCGUGUAGCAGUGAAAUGCGUAGAGAUGCGGAGGAACACCGAUGGCGAAGGCAGCCCCCUGGGCCAACACUGACGCUCAGGCACGAAAGCGUGGGGAGCAAACAGG